rnacentral:rRNA from 1 species
UACGUAGGGGGCGAGCGUUGUUCGGAUUUACUGGGCGUAAAGGGCGCGUAGGCGGCUUAACAAGUCACUUGUGAAAUCUCCGGGCUUAACUCGGAACGGCCAAGUGAAACUGUCAAGCUAGAGUGCAGAAGGGGCAAUCGGAAUUCUUGGUGUAGCGGUGAAAUGCGUAGAUAUCAAGAGGAACACCUGAGGUGAAGACGGGUUGCUGGGCUGACACUGACGCUGAGGAGCGAAAGCGUGGGGAGCGAACAGG